GUAGGUGGCAAGCGUUGUCCGGAAUUAUUGGGCGUAAAGCGCGCGCAGGCGGUUCUUUAAGUCUGAUGUGAAAGCCCACGGCUCAACCGUGGAGGGUCAUUGGAAACUGGAGAACUUGAGUACAGAAGAGGAAAGCGGAAUUCACGUGUAGCGGUGAAAUGCGUAGAGAUGUGGAGGAACACCAGUGGCGAAGGCGGCUUUCUGGUCUGUAACUGACGCUGAGGCGCGAAAGCGUGGGGAGCAAACAGGAUUAGAUACCCUGGUAGUCCACGCCGUAAACGAUGAGUGCUAAGUGUUAGGGGGUUUCCGCCCCCCUUAGUGCUGCAGCUAACGCAUUAAGCACUCCGCCUGGGAGUACGGCCGCAAGGCUG
rnacentral:rRNA from 1 species